UAAUGCGUGGUUUAAGUAAAACAUAAACUUUGUAAGUUUAAGUUAAAAAGA
rnacentral:tRNA from 1 species